rnacentral:rRNA from 1 species
GAUGAACGCUAGCGGCAGGCUUAAUACAUGCAAGUCAAGGGGGUAGCAAUACUACCGGCGCACGGGUGAGUAACACGUACAUAACAUACCAUAUACUGGGGUAUAGCUUUGGGAAACUGAAGGUAAUCCCCCAUAACAUUGCGAGAGGGCAUCUGAUUGCAAUUAAAGUUUCGACGGUAUAUGAUUGAUGUGCGUUUGAUUAGCUUGUUGGUAGGGUAACGGCCUACCAAGGCGACGAUCAAUAGCUGGCGUGAGAGCGCGACCAGCCACACUGGAACUGAGACACGGUCCAGACUCCUACGGGAGGCAGCAGUAGGGAAUAUUGGACAAUGGGCGAAAGCCUGAUCCAGCCAUGCCGCGUGAUAGAUGAAGGCCCUCUGGGUUGUAAAUAUCUUUUAUCUGGGAAGAACACUGGUUCGUGAACCAGCUUGACGGUACUGUAAGAAUAAGGAUCGG